UGUGGCAACAGUUAUGUUUGCCCUAAUGCUGAAGAGUCCUGUGACCUUGCAGCCAUUGCAUUGAAGAUAAAAUCGUGUGCUGCUGCAUGUUGUACUACCGAUAAUUGCAACAAUUAUACCCCCAACAGCGCAACUGGUGUUAUAGUGACCAAGUUUACUCUUUCCUUGAUGGUGAUUGCUGGUUUGAUUUUUGCUUGACUUGAUGUAAUUUUACGUUUUAGCUGUGUAGUUUGUUAGCUUAUAAGUCAAUUGUUGUACUUUGUCUUAAAGAGUCCUGGUCAACCACAAUGCAAUGCAAUGCGUGCGUUUGUUUACGUUUCUGUUACCUUGUGGGCCAGAGGCGGCAACUAUAUUGAGAAAAGUAACUGAAAACGUAAACAAAACCGCGCAAUGCAUUGUGGUUGACCAGGACUCUUUAACUGGCUUAAUGAGAUUAUGUGAUAAAACUGUGUACUUAAAACAAGUUGCUUAAAAUAUGUAUAGCCUUAUUAGUUUGGAUUAAUUUAGUAGGUGAUUACGUAAUAAAUUGAUACAAGGUCAUGAAAGGUGAAAUCAUAAUCAGUUCUUGUCUUGAUGACAUGCGUAAUCAAAUUCACUAAAUACACUAGUUUUGAACUAAAGUGGACGUUAUGAGAUUAUGUGGUAAAACUGUGUAUUCAGUAAAACAAGUUGCUUAAAAUAUGUAUAACCUUAGUAGUUUGGGUUAAUUUAGUAGGUGACUAAGUAAUAAAUUGAUACAAGGUCAUGAAAGGUGAAAUCAUAAUCAGUUCUUUCCUUCAAUACACUAGUUUUGAACUAAAGUGAACCAGUUUUGUGUAAACUGCGUUGAUCUAUAUCAGUUUUACAUUGUUUACCCUGUAGUCCAAUAUAAGUGUACUCUCAUAUUGGCCUAUAUUGUGUUUAAACUAACUUUAUUUAUACUAGAUUGAUUCGUUCUAUCAGCUUUCUACAUUAGUAUUCUUUUUUAUAUUAGUAUUCUUUUUUAUAUUAGUAUUCUUUUUUCUGAUAUCAGUAUUCUUCUUUCUAUUAGUUUUUUUUCUUUAUAUAAAGAAUACUUAUUAGCCAUUUCCCAAAGUCCUGGGUCCAUAGUCGCGCAAUUCUCAUGUUGGAGGGCACGGAAUAUGGCAGCACACAUUUAAAUUAAAUGUUUAAUGUAAAAAAGAGAUAUUUCAUUUUUAGUUGUCUGAUUCUACUCUUUCACAUAUUUGACGCCUGUCACCAUAUAUUUUGUCCUCCAAACGAUCCCAGAAUGCACUGUGAUCUCUUUUGGGAAAAGGCUAAGGGACGGACCAUUAGAAAAGUGAUGGGGGGGGGGGG